rnacentral:rRNA from 1 species
ACGAACCGUCCAAACGUUAUUCGGAAUCACUGGGCUUAAAGGGUGCGUAGGCGGCUCGAAAAGUUGGGUGUGAAAGCCCUCGGCUCAACCGAGGAACUGCGCCCAAAACUGUCGGGCUCGAGGAAGACAGAGGUGAGCGGAACUUAGGGUGGAGCGGUGAAAUGCGUUGAUAUCCUAAGGAACACCAGUAGCGAAAGCGGCUCACUGGGUCUUUUCUGACGCUGAUGCACGAAAGCUAGGGGAGCGAAGAG